AAGUUGGUGUUAGAUAUUGCCAGUCUGUCAAAGUUGGGUAGCCCAUGUGAACACACUUCCCCAACUGAUUAAAGUAGCUUUCUCUCCCUGUUCUUGAGCAUGCUCUCGAGGUGAGAUCUAUAGCUCUUGCUACCCUUCUCUGUUCUGCCCCCUUCUUGGUGUCAUCUCUCUAUCCCGUUGGAGCGCCUCUCUUAGUGUUGUCGGAUGGUUAAAAGCCCAAUUACCCAUCAAUUCUUCGUUGAGGGUCAGCUUUGCUAUUGUGUGAGCUCCUUUGUUUCCUUCUCUACCGAUCCACGCAAAGUUCCAGUUGUCGUGAUUAAUUUGCCAAAGUCGAAGAUCCUUCACAAUAUGUUGGAUCUCCCCGUAAAGCAUUUCCCCUUUACAAGCUUGGAUCAGCUGUGGGCUAUCAAACUCAAAGAUGAUGUCUUGAAGAUCCAUGUUCAUAGCUAUGACCAUGGCUUCACGGAGUGAGAUGGCCUCUGCAAUUAAGGGAGAGGUGGUACAAAGGUCUUAGCCCGGGUGCAAACGGUGAUCCCUUUCAUCUCUAAAUAUGAUUCCUCUGCUAGCUUUCUUCGAUCUCUCUAAAAGGCCGCAUCUGUAUUGCAUUUGAGGUGCCCUGGUGGUUGAAGAUUCCAGAUUAGGGGAAUUCUUGCGUUUCCAUUUCGAACUGGAGCGGGCGGAGGGGUGAUCGAUGUUCUGUAUUCCUCAUGAGGUACUGGUUGCAGAAUUUCUCCAGUGGCCACCCAUCUCCAGUUCCAAACCUGUAUCGUCUCUCUGUUCCCAACUUGCUAAUGUCCUUGCUUAAGUAGGAUCUCACAGCCAUGGAUAAUGCUGGCCCAGACCCACGAGGAACCAGUUCGCUUUGGAGCGUGCCAGAAGUCUUCAUUGGGGAAGUAAAUCCCUUUUAGAACCUGGACCCAGAGAGACUCAGGGUUGUGCAUAAUUCUCCAGACUUGCUUAGCCAACAUGCCUGAUUGUUUGCUUCAAAGUCUUUGAAGCCUAUCCCCCCCUCAUUCUUGAGCUUCGUUAGGAGUUCCCAUUUCCGCCAAUGAAUACCUUUGUCUCCUUUGGAGGUCCAACAGAAACGGGCUACUUUAGAACAAAGGUCCUUGCAAAAGGCUUUGGGAAAUCUGAGUAUUGCCAUAGCAUAUGAAGGUAUGGCCUAGACUACAGCCUUAAUGAGGGUCUCUUUACCAGAUUGAUUUAAGAAGUGUCCUUUCCAUCCCUGAAGUUUGUUCAGCACCUUGUCUUUUAUCCAUCCUAGCGAGCUGAUUUUGGAUCGUCCCCAUUCAGUCGGCAUGCCCAAGUACAUUUCGGGGUUAUCCCAUACCUGCACUUGUAAAAUAGUUGCUAGUCUUCUUCUCUUAUCACUGGGAACAUCCUUGCCACCAAUCAGCCCUGACUUUAAGCAGUUGAUCCUUUGUUCAGACGCGAUGAAAAAAAGCAGCAGGAGUUGUUGCCAUUUAUACAGUUCCGGUUCAGUGGCUUGAGCAAGAAGCAUAGCAUCAUUGGCAAAAAAAACAAAUGCAUUAGUGCGGGAGCCUGUUGUGUCAGUUUGAUGCCUUGUAUUCCUCCUUAUUCCUUGCUCCUGAUUAUCAUGUGGGAAAAAACGUCCAAUACUAGCAGGAAUAUAUACCGUGAAAGAGGGUCGCCUUGGAGAAGUCCUCUUUGUGGCUUGAUCUUCUCUCCGCAAACUCCAUUGAUCUUGUAACGGAACUUCCACUCUACUUGAUCGAAGGCUUUAUUCAUGUCAAGCUUGACACUCAAAUGAUCUCUGCCUAUUCUGCAUCUCUUCUUCAGUGCGUUAAAUGCCUCUUGCACUAUAAUAAGAUUGUCCUGAAUUUGUCUCCCCCUAUUAAAAGCAUUCUUCUGGGGGGUGAUGAUAGAAUUCAUUGCUGGUUUCAGUCUUGUUACCAAGAUCCUGGAGAUGAUUUUACAAACAAAGUUACAGCAGCUGAUGGGUCGAAAGUUGGAGAUAGAUUCUGGAUUUUGGGUUUUUGGAGCCAAGACUGUUCAAUAUGUCCGGUCCAGGAGCUUUCAUGCUUCCCAGGCAGAAGGCAGCCUCCUUGACUUCAUUUUCCGUUACAGGCUCUAAGAGUUCCCUGUUCAGACUUUCAUAGAUGACUCUUGGAACUGCGUUGAGGCAUUCAGUGAUAUUCUGGCGGUUCGUGCUUUUGUAAAUAUCUGGAUAGAAGUCUGGCACAUCUCGAUUUAUAGCUAAUUGGCUUCUAACCCAGGUACCUUGCAUAUCCUUGAUCCUCUCAAUUCGAUUUCUUUCUCUACGUUGGACAGUGGAAGCAUGAAAGAACUUUGUGUUCUUGUCCCCGCUUUUCAACCAUUUGAUUCUUGAUCUUUGGCUCCAGAAUAGUUCCUCUUGCCUCCAAAGAUCUUUUAGUCUCAUUUUCCUUUGCUUAAUUUCCUGCCAGUCCUCCCCAGAAUUGCUGUAAUUUUGUAGGUGUUCCAACUGAUUCUUGAGCUCAGCUAUUUCCUUAUCAGCUCUAGAGAAGUUCUGGUGAUGCCAUUCAGUGAGCGCCAGUUUUGUGUUUGUUGUUUUCCCAGAUAAGUUGCUACAAUGACUACUAGCAGUUUCACUAGUAUUAUCCCAAGCUUUCUUUAUGGUUUCUUUACAUUCUGGAUGUUCCUCCCAUUAUGGCUCAUAUCUAAACAUCUUUGUGUGCUUGCUUGCAUAUUUUAGACGUAAAACUAGUGGAGAGUGAUUCGAGCUUACAAUGGGAAGGGCAAUUCCCACUACAUAUUGAAACAGUUCCUGCAUGUUCCAGUUAAAGAGCACUCUGUCGAUCUUUUCCUUAGUGACCUGGCCUUGUCUUGGGUUGCUAACCCAAACGAACCUACACCCUUUCAGAUCUAGGUCCAUCAGGUUUUUAGAGUCGAUGAUUUAUCUAAAGAGCUCCAUACGGUUUCUAUGGUGCGGUCUCAAUCCUUCUUUUUCAUGUUGUUCCAAGAUCUCAUUAAAGUCUCCCAUUAGACACCAAGGAUCAUCAGUGGUGUGAAGGCCAGCAAGUUCACCCCACAGCUUACGUCCUUGGGUGAAGGUUGGGUGCCCUUAGACCCAUGUUACAUGCCAAGAGUUGUGUCCUUCCGUCACUCGAGUGUGGAUGUAACUUUGAGAGCUUCCUAGAAUGUUUAUUUUGGUGCUUUUGUUCCACAUGAGGGCUAGCCCCCCACUUCUGCCUCUUGCCUCAACAUAGUAGCAAUGAUCACAGUGCAGUAGUCAUUUUGUA